rnacentral:rRNA from 1 species
GUGGGGAAUAUUGCACAAUGGGGGAAACCCUGAUGCAGCCAUGCCGCGUGUGUGAAGAAGGCCUUCGGGUUGGAAAGCACUUUCAGCGAGGAGGAAAGGUCAGGAGCUAAUAUCUGCUGACUGUGACGUUACUCGCAGAAGAAGCACCGGCUAACUCCGUGCCAGCAGCCGCGGUAAUACGGAGGGUGCAAGCGUUAAUCGGAAUUACUGGGCGUAAAGCGCACGCAGGCGGUUGGAUAAGUUAGAUGUGAAAGCCCCGGGCUCAACCUGGGAAUUGCAUUUAAAACUGUCCAGCUAGAGUCUUGUAGAGGGGGGUAGAAUUCCAGGUGUAGCGGUGAAAUGCGUAGAGAUCUGGAGGAAUACCGGUGGCGAAGGCGGCCCCCUGGACAAAGACUGACGCUCAGGUGCGAAAGCGUGGGGAGCAAACAGGAUUAGAAACCCGUGUAGUCC